GCCUACAUGAAGCUGGAGUUACUAGUAAUCGCAGAUCAGAAUGCUGCGGUGAAUGCGUUCCCGGGUCUUGUACACACCGCCCGUCACACCACGGGAGUUGGAGACGCCCGAAGCCGAUUAUCUAACCUUUUGGAAGAAGUCGUCGAAGGUGGAAUCAAUAACUGGGGUGAAGUCGUAACAAGGUAGCCGUAUCGGAAGGUGCGGCUGGAUCACCUCCUUUCUAAGGA
rnacentral:rRNA from 1 species